AGCGAACGCUGGCGGCAGGCCUAACACAUGCAAGUCGAACGGACCUUUCGGGGUUAGUGGCGGACGGGUGAGUAACACGUGGGAACGUGCCUUUAGGUUCGGAAUAGCUUCUGGAAACGGGUGGUAAUGCCGAAUGUGCCCUUAGGGGGAAAGAUUUAUCGCCUUUAGAGCGGCCCGCGUCUGAUUAGCUAGUUGGUGAGGUAAUGGCUCACCAAGGCUACGAUCAGUAGCUGGUCUGAGAGGAUGACCAGCCACAUUGGGACUGAGACACGGCCCGAACUCCUACGGGAGGCAGCAGUGGGGAAUCUUGCGCAAUGGGCGAAAGCCUGACGCAGCCAUGCCGCGUGGAUGAUGAAGGUCUUAGGAUUGUAAAAUCCUUUCACCGGUGAAGAUAAUGACUGUAGCCGGAGAAGAAGCCCCGGCUAACUUCGUGCCAGCCGCCGCAGUAA
rnacentral:rRNA from 1 species